AACGGAGAGAAAGACGAAUAGCUGUGUGUCGCGACGGAGUGGAAAGGGACGCGCGGCUAUUCCUCUCUUUCUCCCUCC